rnacentral:rRNA from 1 species
AACGAACGCUGGCGGCAGGCCUAACACAUGCAAGUCGAGCGGGGUUUUCGGACCUAGCGGCGGACGGGUGAGUAAUGCGUAGGAAGCUGCCCGAUAGAGGGGGAUACCAGUUGGAAACGACUGUUAAUACCGCAUAAUGUCUACGGACCAAAGUGUGGGACCUUCGGGCCACAUGCUAUCGGAUGCGCCUACGUGGGAUUAGCUAGUUGGUGAGGUAAUGGCUCACCAAGGCGACGAUCUCUAGCUGGGUUGAGAGGAUGGUCAGCCACACUGGAACUGAGACACGGUCGAGACUCCUACGGGGGGCAGCAGUGGGGAAUAUUGGACAAUGGGCGCAAGCCUGAUCCCGCCAUGCCGCGUGUGUGAAGAAGGCCUUCGGGUUGUAAAGCACUUUCAGCGAGGAGGAAGGGAUGUAUGUUAAUAGCAUGCAUUUUUGACGUUACUCGCAGAAGAAGCACCGGCUAACUCUGUGCCAGCCGCCGCGGUAACAC